CUCCGAACUGUUUGAAUGUUUGGUUAAGUUGUGAAAAGAAAAGUAUGGUCAAACGAUUUUUAUCAAGACUUUUUAUUUGUAUGUGUUUAGAAGAAUUGGUCAAUAGAUAACUGAAUAUACAGAAAAAAUAACAGGGGUGGAAAGAAGCAAAGUGAAGUUAAAGGAGAAAAUAAUUACCGAGGA